CGGAGGAAAAGAAACCAACAGGGAUUGCCCUAGUAACGGCGAGUGAAGCGGCAACAGCUCAAAUUUGAAAUCUGGCGCAAGCCCGAGUUGUAAUUUGUAGAGGAUGCUUCUAGGUAGCGACCGGUCUAAGUUCCUUGGAACAGGACGUCAUAGAGGGUGAGAAUCCCGUAUGUGACCGGCCCGCACCUUCUACGUAGCUCCUUCGACGAGUCGAGUUGUUUGGGAAUGCAGCUCUAAAUGGGAGGUAAAUUUCUUCUAAAGCUAAAUACCGGCCAGAGACCGAUAGCGCACAAGUAGAGUGAUCGAAAGAUGAAAAGCACUUUGGAAAGAGAGUUAAAAAGCACGUGAAAUUGUUGAAAGGGAAGCGCUUACAACCAGACUUCUGGGCGGUGUUCCGCCGGUCUUUUGACCGGUCUACUCGCCGUCCCGAGGCCAACAUCAUCUGGGACCGCUGGAUAAGACCUCAGGAAUGUAGCUCCCCUCGGGGAGUGUUAUAGCCUGUGGUGAUGCAGCGCGUCUCGGGUGAGGUCCGCGCUUCGGCAAGGAUGUUGGCGUAAUGGUUGUCAGCGGCCCGUCUUGAAACACGGACCAAGGAGUCUAACAUCUAUGCGAGUGUUCGGGUGUCAAACCCCUACGCGUAAUGAAAGUGAACGGAGGUGGGAAGGGCAACCUGCACCAUCGACCGAUCCUGAUGUCCUCGGAUGGAUUUGAGUAAGAGCAUAGCUGUUGGGACCCGAAAGAUGGUGAACUAUGCCUGAAUAGGGUGAAGCCAGAGGAAACUCUGGUGGAGGCUCGCAGCGGUUCUGACGUGCAAAUCGAUCGUCAAAUUUGGGUAUAGGGGCGAAAGACUAAUCGAACCAU
rnacentral:rRNA from 1 species